rnacentral:rRNA from 1 species
UACGUAGGGCGCAAGCGUUGUCCGGAAUUAUUGGGCGUAAAGAGCUCGUAGGCGGCUUGUCACGUCGGGUGUGAAAGCCCGGGGCUUAACCCCGGGUCUGCAUUCGAUACGGGCUAGCUAGAGUGUGGUAGGGGAGACUGGAAUUCCUGGUGUAGCGGUGAAAUGCGCAGAUAUCAGGAGGAACACCGGUGGCGAAGGCGGGUCUCUGGGCCGAAAUUGACGCUGAGGAGCGAAAGCGUGGGGAGCAAACAGG